rnacentral:rRNA from 1 species
UACAGAGGUCCCAAGCGUUGUUCGGAUUCACUGGGCGUAAAGGGUGCGUAGGUGGUGAGGUAAGUCGGAUGUGAAAUCUCCGAGCUCAACUCGGAAACUGCAUUGGAAACUACCUUGCUCGAGGGUUGGAGGGGGGACUGGAAUGCUUGGUGUAGCAGUGAAAUGCGUAGAUAUCAAGCGGAACACCAGUGGCGAAGGCGCUCUGCUAGGCCGUAACUGACACUGAGGGACGAAAGCUAGGGGAGCGAAUGGG